CAGUUGGUACCUCCUGUGGUGCGAUGCAGAAGUGGCCUCGUUGGCUGAGAGCUGAGGAGGUGGCUCUGGGCUGCUUCCCGAGACAUGCUGGUAGAAGCAGACCUGUUUCUGGGGAGAAAUCCCGACUCAAAUUAAGAGGAAGAGGAGCAGCCUGUAGUUGGGAGCUGAAAACACAACCUGCUGACUCUCAGGGUGUCUUAGAAGAAUGCAAUUGGGGCCUACUUGCAGAUUACUGCUGGAUUCAGAAUCCCAGGAAGGGAGGAGGGAGCAAGCUGGAGAGCUUGAGGACUCACGUGAGUACCAGGAAAAGUGCGGCAUCUCUCCACUUCUCUUCUCUCCGCCUGCCUGCAGCCAGGGUGAGACUGAGAUGGGCAGCCCUUCAGGGACCCUGAUAUUCUUCAUAACGAAAAUUUAACCAACAUCCUUUAGACACUUGUUCA